GCGCUGCUCGGCGGCGGCGUGACGACCACGGCCGCGGGCAGCCACGUGCUGCUGGCCGACACGCCGCCUACGCUCGAGCUGAUGGCCGACAAGGCCGACAACAGCCUCACCGGCAGUGACGCGCCGCCGCGGGACGCGCCGCCGCCCUCCUCCACCAGCCACUUAGUGAAGAAGCUGGUGCGCAAAGGCUCCGGUCCCAUGGAGGUGACGUGAGGUAGUCUCGCCGCGCCCGGCCGGGCGCAGAGUAGUGGUGCCGUCUGGUGGCGGUACUCCGCACUUGAGUCUCGCGGUGCUGCUACCAUCGUCAGCCAGCCAGCCAGCCAGCCAGCCAGCCAUGAGUGUUACUAGUAUUUUCUAUUUAACCCGUGAAAACACAAGUUUAGUACAAAGUCAAGUAGUUCAUUGUUUCAUCUUUGGGCAUUUACAGUCAUUUCCAUUGUCAUAUCUUUGUUUUCUUUGUACCCUGAAAGUAGGUACCUAUAUUAUCAGUUCAGAAUUGGCCUCGCUCACGUCAUUUGAUUUCAACAUUCAGUAUCGUCGUCUUUUCUUUAAUUCCGAAGAAAACUGUCUACCUGCUUUCCGCUGUUCUACCACGUAGUGUAGUGGCGCGCAGAAAAUAACCUGUUUAUAAAGAAACGAAACAUGCGUAGUGAUAACAUGCUGUAAAAAUAUAAAAAGCUGACAAACGCUCAAAAACAGCACUUCUGUAAAGACCGUUCUGUUUCCAUGGUGAUUGUGGCGCAGCGCAUGUAAGCCUAAUGUUCGACAUGUUAGUAAUUGUGGAGACAUCUGGCGGGGACGGGCCUGGGAGGGUGUUCCCGUGGCCGGGGAUGGUCGCCAGCUGCCCGCUAUACCGCACUGUUUUGCGAUGCGCCUCGCGCGCUUGGAGUCUUUCAUGGGACUGGUGUAGCGGAACGCUGCGUCUGUGUGCCGCUGGAGUGGUGCGCUGCCGGGGCGUCAGUGUCGAGUGUGUGUGGAUGUGCACCAGGGGGCGCGCGGCUGGGCGCGGCGGACUCUGCCGGGGUCGGGGGACCGGCGGCCGGACGGACGCUGCGAGGGUGCGGGCCGGCCGGCUCUAUACGCUUUCAUUGUGAUGUACGGUCAUUUUAAUGUUGUACCUCUGUAUAUAGGUCAUACAUCGUAUUGCUCCUGCAGUAAGCAAGAAAUAAAUCAUCUCCAAUCUGCGA